rnacentral:lncRNA from 1 species
ACAUGCUUGUGCAGGACCACAGGCCACUGGCUGGUGGAGGGUGCAGGCUUGCGGUGCAGCUGUUUGUCUGCGCGUAUCUGGCAUGGCCUCCCUUUCCCCUGCAUCUGGUCCCCAUUAGCCAAAGUGGAGAGUAUAAAGAAGGGAGCUGACGCAGAGCAGCAGCAGUAGUCUGGUUCCUGCCCUGGAUCAUGGGGUUUACUAUCUGGCUUUGUGUGCUGUGCCUACAGGCCAGCCUGCUCUCACACGCCCUGGACUGUUCUGAAACCAGCCGAGGAGAGACGUGUGUCAGCAGACACGCCGCAGACAACCAGAAUGACGAUCAGAGGCAACAGAGAACACUCUCCCUAACUAAAGAACUGGUUUUAUUCAGACGUAAGAGACAGCUGGAGCGCAGAGGUCCAACCCACCUGAGUCACCUCCUCCUGCCCGGAGCCGUCUCCGUCAAAGGCUUUCCAAACACCCUCAUCCAGGCCGACAGGUCCAGGAGACACUUGAGUCAGGUUGCGAGUAAGAAGAAGAACAAACGUAAACCCAGAGUCGGCUCUUUUUCACUCCUUAGCAACGACAAGAAGUCCAACCCCCUACAGUUCAGGUUGACCAGAGCGAAGCGGCAAGUGAAGCUUGAUCCUCCCAAAAGGGGAAACUCUGGUCGCUCUGGUGCGUUUUCCGUCCUGGGCGAUCCUACAAUCGAUGCACAGAAGGACAGACCAAAGAGGAGCAUUUAGAGCAGGAGUGUCAAACUCAUUUUAGUUCAGGGGCCAAAUACGGACCAGUUUGAUCACAAAGUGAGCUGCAGAUUUUAGGAGGGAAAAAGAGCAAAUUCAACAUUAAUGUGCCCUGGUUUGCACUUUUACAUAUAAAUUAUACAAGUAUAUCAGUCCCUGCCAAAUUUCUACUUAAAAUUUCCCUGAUUUGGGGAAUUUGGGGAAAUUUUGUGGAAUAAUUUUUGAAAAAUUUGCCAGAUUAUGGAAAAAUUAAGAGUUCUUUCAACAAAAUGAGAUUAAAAAUGGCCACGGUCAUGUGAUUUUAAUUGAAUCUUUUCAUUUGGAGGGGCUGAGAUAUCUACACCUGAAUUAGGCCAAAUUUGAUGCUCUAAAGGGCCGGGUUUGGCCCCCGAGCCUUGAGUUUGACACUUGAUUUAAAGGAUGAUUGUCCAUUUAUUAUACAAAAAAAAACAUUUAUUUGUGAUUUAAAAAAAAUCUAAUUUGUCAAAUAUUUUUGCUUAAUCAUUUUUGUGUAUGUUCUAAGCUAUAGCUUAUCUUUUUAUCAACCAGCACACAUAUACUGUAUGAAGUAUGUUUGCCUGUAUUUCUAUUUCCAUAAUAUUUCUGCAUGUUGUCACAACACGAAAGAUCCCGUAUUAUUUUACAGUUUGCCAGGUUUGUUAUUUAAUCACAGAUACUUUAUAAAAGAGUAAGGAGGUUUUAUUUUUGCAGAAAUGUUUCCUGUGUUGUCAAAUUUUAAUAAAAGUUUUUAAGGCGUG